GAUGGUUUUAAAAAUGAGAGUUUCCCUGCACAAGCUCUCUUUCUGCCUGCUGCCAUCCACAUAAGAUGUGGCUUGCUCCUCCUUGCCUUCCACCAUGAUUGUGAGGCUUCCUCAGCCAUGGAACUAAUUGUCCUCUCACUGUGACAUCCAGUCAACACUGGCCUUCAUUCUACGCCUGCUGCCCUGAUGAUUGCACGUUAAUGAAGCACAAAGAGGAGUUAUUACUGUCCAUUUAUUUUCCAUCCCCACAGAUAGUAGUAGGACCAGCCUGUCCUCUUCUUAAUACAGCUUCUGUGGUGGCAGAAGGACCAGCUACAUAAUUUGCAGGACCCAGUAGGAGGUUUAUCUUCCAAAAAUUCACCUCAUCUCACCUAUGACAUCCACAUACCCUCCAGUGGCUACUACAGCAGAAGAUCGUCAACAUAGCUCCCAUCUUUGGGCUAUCUUCCAGCAAGAGCCUGAAUAGUUGUCUCACUUUCAUAUUGAGCAAGGACAUGGAAUCUCUGACAAACGAGGAAGACUUGGAACACUUAAGCAAGCAUAACCUCCUGAGAGAAUUUACCAUGAGCAUGUGAUGCUUAGGCUACGGCAGCCAUCUUGGUACCCUGAGAAGAGUCACCCUAAGAGAAGAUGCCAGCAUUCUAGGAAAAGCAGGGCGGGGAUGGAGAAAAAAUCCAGGGCCUGGAUGACAUUGCUGAGCUGCUGAGUUAACCUAGAACUAUCCUAACUCAAGAUUUCUCUUUAUAAGAAUCUCUCUUGCAGGAGUAACACAGGCAUGUGGAGAAUUUCUCAGAGUAUUUCCGCAGCAACCAACUGGCAUGAAGAAUACUUUGCUGAAACAUGGGGUUCAAAAGCAGCCCACAGCUCUCUUUCAGACCUCUGAAGUCACACCCAGUGGUCUAGUCAACAUUUCCUCUUGCAGAGAUUGUAAAGGUUUCAAUCUUAACACCAUGUGACUAAUUCGGUCUCUAUGAUCAAAGCCUUAUAAGAAAGAAUGACUGGUUGACCCGACAUGGACCAAGUGACCGUUCUUGUUCCCAGUGUGUUGUGGGCUAAGAAGAGAUGGGCACAGAAUGAUGGGAACGCAGAGCGAAAGGGCCCAACUCUACCAGGAGGGGAAGAUAAAAACUCCUGAAGAAAUUAUACAAAAAUAGAAUACUUACAACAGAAUUCUCAACAUCAUUUUUCCCUGUUUGAAUCCAGCAAGUCAGCCAUUGGUCACUUAAGAGCACUAACCCCUCCCUGGUUUGAAGAUGUUCUUGACUUUAAAUACAAACAUCUGAUAUUCCAGCUUAGACUCCUCCACAAGAACUAGAGUGUCAUCCUAUUUUGGCUUCCAGCUCAGUCCCUCUGCUACAAGUCUUGACUCCAGAACUCUGUGGGAUAAUAAAAUACAAGAUCAUAGCUUGAAAAUAGAGCGUGCAUCUGGUGUGGUUUGUUGUUUUGGCUUAAUUAGGACUUGCCGUUUCCUGAAUUCCUGUAAUCUCAUUUGAUGAAUUGUGUUGGUUACUUGCUCUGCAGGCUUUGAGCAUGUGGCACAUAUCAGAGGAAAUGAUUUCCCCUUUCUUCUUUGAAAAUCAUCUUCUGGUGCAUUAAAAAAAGAAAGCCAAUGUUUUUGGAUUUCUUUAGCUGUCCAUAGAAUUAC
rnacentral:lncRNA from 1 species